GGGGGUGAACGGUUUCGACUCCGUAUGUCGAUACAGGAGAAGCGGGCCGAGGAUUGCGUUGCUGACCUCGUUAAAAAAGCGACGCACAAAAAAAUAAGCGCCGAUUCACAUCGCGCUGACUUCGCUCUCGCUGCCUAAGUAGCAGAGCGGGUCUGUCAGCCCGGACUCGUCACCGGUCCGGUUCCUGGCAUCAGCUAGGUGACUUACCGUCCUCGCCGGUCGCGGGUGAGGUCGGGACAACUCACAGCGGCUGGGCCUGUCACACCGGCUUGUGCGCAUGACCGGUGGGGCCGAGUAGAGGCACAGCGCACUGCGCCCGGAGAAGUCCUGUUGAAGCGUCGGAGGACGCGGGUUCGAUUCCCGCCACCUCCACAA
rnacentral:sRNA from 1 species